rnacentral:rRNA from 1 species
CCUACGGGAGGCAGCAGUGGGGGAUAUUGCACAAUGGGGGGAACCCUGAUGCAGCGACGCCGCGUGUGGGAAGACGGUCCUCUGGAUUGUAAACCACUGUCCCCAGGGACGAAAAUGCCGGUACCUGGGGAGGCAGCUCCGGCUAACUACGUGCCAGCAGCCGCGGUAAUACGUAGGGAGCGAGCGUUGUCCGGAAUUACUGGGUGUAAAGGGAGUGUAGGCGGGGAUGCAAGUUGGGUGUAAAAACUACCGGCUCAACUGGUAGUCGCACUCAAAACUGCAGCUCUUGAGUGAAGUAGAGGCAGGCGGAAUUCCUAGUGUAGCGGUGAAAUGCGUAGAUAUUAGGAGGAACACCAGUGGCGAAGGCGGCCUGCUGGGCUGUGACUGACGCUGAGGCUCGAAAGUGUGGGGAGCAAACAGGAUUAGAUACCCUUGUAGUC